AUACUUUGGUUUCUCUUCAGAUCUUAUAAAUUUUUUGCCUUUUACUAAAGAUUUCCAUGGAGAAGAAAGGGAUGAACAAUGUAAAGAAAAAACC
rnacentral:snRNA from 1 species